GAUGAACGCUAGCGGCAGGCCUAACACAUGCAAGUCGAGGGGUAGCAGGAUUAAGCUUGCUUAAUUGCUGACGACCGGCGCACGGGUGCGUAACGCGUAUGCAACCUACCUUAUAAUGGGGUAUAGCCCGGAGAAAUUCGGAUUAAUCCCCCAUAGUACUAAUGAAUCGCAUGGUUUAUUAGUUAAAGCAUUGCGGUAUAAGCUGGGCAUGCGUCCUAUUAGCUAGAUGGUGAGGUAACGGCUCACCAUGGCUACGAUAGGUAGGGGGCCUGAGAGGGUUGUCCCCCACACUGGUACUGAUACACGGACCAGACUCCUACAGGAGUCAGCAGUGAGGAAUAUUGGUCAAUGGGCGCGAGCCUGAACCAGCCAUGCCGCGUGCAGGAAGAAUGCCCUAUGGGUUGUAAACUGCUUUUAUUUGGGAAUAAACCUCUUUACGUGUAGAGAGCUGAAGGUACCAAAUGAAUAAGCACCGGCUAACUCCGUGCCAGCCGCCGCGGUAA
rnacentral:rRNA from 1 species